rnacentral:tRNA from 1 species
GGGCGCGUGCUGGAAUUGGUAGACAGCCAACACUUAAAAUGUUGUGGUGAGAAAUCACCGUAUCGGUUCGAGUCCGAUCGCGCCCA